AGAGUUUGAUCCUGGCUCAGAAUGAACGCUGGCGGCGUGCGUAACACAUGCAAGUCGAACGAGAAAUUCCGGGCUUGCUCGGGAGAGUAAAGUGGCGAACGGGUGAGUAACGCGUGGGUAACCUGCCCCUGAAUCUGGAAUAACUUCGCGAAAGCGAGGCUAAUACCGGAUAUUGUCCCAGGGACCUCGGUUCUUGUGAUGAAAGAUGACCUCUUCACGAAAGUUGUCGUUCAGGGAGGGGCCCGCGUACCAUUAGCUAGUUGGUAGGGUAAUGGCCUACCAAGGCGAUGAUGGUUAGCUGGUCUGAGAGGAUGACCGGCCACACUGGCACUGAAACACGGGCCAGACUCCUACGGGAGGCAGCAGUGAGGAAUUUUGCGCAAUAGGGGAAACCCUGACGCAGCAACGCCGCGUGAGUGAAGAAGGCCCUCGGGUCGUAAAGCUCUGUCAAGUGGGAAAAAAGCUUACUGGUAAAUAGCCAGCAAGACUGAUGGUACCAUUGAAGGAAGCACCGGCUAACUCCGUGCCAGCAGCCGCGGUAAUACGGAGGGUGCAAGCGUUGUUCGGAAUUACUGGGCGUAAAGGGCGUGUAGGCGGUGUGGUAAGUCAGAUGUGAAAGCCCUGGGCUUAACCCAGGAAGUGCAUUUGAAACUGCCAUGCUUGAGUAUGGGAGAGGAGAGUGGAAUUCCCAGUGUAGAGGUGAAAUUCGUAGAUAUUGGGAGGAACACCCGUGGCGAAGGCGACUCUCUGGACCAAUACUGACGCUGAGG
rnacentral:rRNA from 1 species